rnacentral:rRNA from 1 species
ACAAGGGUACUAAUUAAAGCAGCGAUUACACCAGUUCUCGUCCAGUGACUGAAGUUAAGCAAUGUUGGACGUUGUUAGUACUUGGAUGUGUGACCGUCUGGGAGAUCCAACGUUGGACCUUGUU